AUUGAACGCUGGCGGAAUGCUUUACACAUGCAAGUCGAACGGCAGCACGGGAGCUUGCUCCUGGUGGCGAGUGGCGAACGGGUGAGUAAUAUAUCGGAACGUAUCCAAUAAUGGGGGAUAACUAGUCGAAAGAUUAGCUAAUACCGCAUACGCCCUGAGGGGGAAAGCUGGGGAUCUUCGGACCUGGCGUUAAUGGAGCGGCCGAUAUCUGAUUAGCUAGUAGGUGAGGUAAAAGCUCACCUAGGCGACGAUCAGUAGCUGGUCUGAGAGGACGACCAGCCACACUGGAACUGAGACACGGUCCAGACUCCUACGGGAGGCAGCAGUGGGGAAUUUCGGACAAUGGGCGCAAGCCUGAUCCAGCCAUUCCGCGUGAGUGAAGAAGGCCUUCGGGUUGUAAAGCUCUUUCGCAAGGGAAGAAAACUUAUCCUCUAACAUAGGAUGAGGUUGACGGUACCUUGAUAAGAAGCACCGGCUAACUACGUGCCAGCAGCUGCGGUAA
rnacentral:rRNA from 1 species